rnacentral:lncRNA from 1 species
UUGAUGAUCGGGUCAGAUCCAUCGAGGAUCCAUCGUUUGAGUACCGGAGGUCGAGAGAUUGAGCAACGAGAUUGUUCUUUGGAUUUGAAUAUUUCACUCCAAGCACCCAUGAAAUGCCAGAAAGAGGUUCCAUCGGCGACCAUAUGAUUGAUAGAUCCACCGAUAAAGAUUCCAUCGACAAGCUCUGUAACUUGAAUGGAUAACAAUGGCAGUGUGUGACCAUCGUGGCUAAUGGCGUUAUUGAGAUCAAAAAAUGAACGAACAACCACGGGUACAUCAGCAGGCUGAAGGAUGUCCGAUAUGGUGGCGUCCACCGUCGCGUAAAUAAACUUGACGCCGGGGCUGUUUUCAGGGUCUAAGUAGAUAACAUAGGAAGCUGGAUUUUCUUCUUUUUUAGUGACCAAACGGCCGGCGAGGGGGUAGAAAUGAUCGAGGGUGGCGGAGAGGGAUCGCCGGAGGUCGUCAAGGUAAGCGGUAAUGGAGAAAUCUUGACUUUCCGACGGUGGUGGCUUUGCAAAGAGAAGACCCUUUUGGCUGUAGCUGAUGUUGAGGCAUGGCAGCUCGAAGGGUGUGAAAUGAAAAGGCUGCUUUGCCUCCGGUGAGAGGUCAUGCAGUGAUUUGAUGAAGCAUUCUGAGAUGCGUUUCACAGAUUUAGAACUCAUUGAUACCAGAACACCAAUUGUUCUCUUCUUUUAAUGGAGCAACGAAGACAAAUUAACUUCUUGCACAUAUAAAGAUGCUAGCCAUCAAACAUGUUAAGUAUAACAAAAAGGGAGAAUCAUAUGUAAAUCCAAAGCAGAUAGAAUUUAUUAAAUCUCGAGUAUCUAGAAGGGAGACCGAUCAAUUACUUUUGUAGUGUUUUAUCUCAAUCAAGUAUUAUAAUAAGAUAAUACAUAAAAUAAUAGAAGAACUUGAUAUUGGCCACCUCAUUUUGACCAAUAACUCCUUUAGACUAAAAGAUAACAUUUGUAAUCUUAAAAAAAAUGGGUUUGUCUUUAUAGAUUUAGAUUUAGCGAUGGUUAAGUUGUUACUUGCUCUUAUUUUUUAUUUUAUUUUGGGUGGGUGAAUGUUUGACAACUUAUAACAUUUUACAAAAUCGUAUUGUUUUGAAAAAAAAAAAAACAUUAUUAUUUUGCAGUAUAUAUUUUUAAAGUUUAGUUUAAAUGAAACAUUCCAAAUCUAAAAGUUAUCUUACCUAGAGUUUAACAAAACGCUACCAAUUACAAACUAAUUUUACUGAACACGUCCUUUGAAGCAUUAUGUUUAAGUUGUGUUUGUAAAACUAAUUAUAUCGGGUAGCUAUUAGCUAUUAGAUGCGAACUAAAUCUUUUAAUUGUUUAUUGUUUAUUUUUUAAAGGUGUAAACUUGAAUAAACCAAAAGCUAAAAUCUCCAAAAACCUAAACUCUAAAAAAUUACUUGAAAUUCCUUUUGAAUUAAAUUUUUUUUUGUUUAAAAUAAAAAUAAAAACUCUUGCCGCCAAACAAAGCUUUUUAUUUUAUCUGAUUUUUUCUUAAACACUAAAAACUUUCGAAAAUAUAAAAAGUUAUGUCCCAAACAUGCAUUUCGUGUCUAAUGGCUACUUACCGUGUUUCUAAAAUACAAAACUAUAUUGAAGUUUUAAGUAACGAACAUAUAUAUUGAAAUAAUAACAAUUAACUAUUCAUGGAUGGACAAAUUAAUUUGAGAAAAUUUCGUAUAUACAUUUUUAAGCAUCAAAAUAUUACAUUUAUUUAGACUAAUAUUUAAAUAUUAUAUUUAUCAUCUUUAAAAAUAUUAGAGACAAUUGUAAGCUCCUUCUCCAUGCUUGAUAUCUAGAUGAUGAGACUGUCAUUGGGGGAUUCAGAGGAGGUGGCUAGAGUGUUGAACAUAAUUCGGUUGCGUGGUCCAGGUUUGGGUCUUGAGUUGAACAUCAAGAAAACGGAGAUUUUUUGGCCCUCAUGUGAUGGUAGGAAGUUUCAUGUUGAUUUAUUCNGAGAGUGGUCAAUGCUGUUGAUUUGAUGGGCCUUCUUCCACAACUAUGUGACCCACAAAGUGAGCUCCUUUUGCUUCGAUCAUGUAUGGGCAUUGCAAAACUUUUCUUUGGUUUAAGGACAUGCCAGCCGGUACACAUAGAAGAGGCAGCGUUAUUCUUUGACAAAGGCUUACGCAGGUCUAUCGAGGAUAUGGUGGUAUGUGGAGGCCCCUUCUUUGGAGACAUUCAGUGGCGCUUGGCUUCCUUACCUAUUCGUUUUGGUGGUUUGGGUUUGUACUCGGCCUACGAGGUUUCCUCCUAUGCAUUUGUAGCCUUGAGGGCCCAAUCUUGGGCAUUACAAGACCACAUCUUACGUGAUAGUGGCAUAUGUGGUAUGGACUCGGAUUACCUAUGUGCUAUGACUCGUCUUCGCGAUACGAUUUCGGGAUUUGACUGUAACGGUUUCACUAAUAAGGACACCGCCCCCUAAAUCCCAAAAAGCUUUGGCAUGUGUCCUUUUUAGCAAAAUCAUUCAAGAUAUGGAAGUCGACUUCGACAUGACUGUCAGACAGAAAGCAGUCUUUGAGUGUCUGCGGGCGCCUCAUGCUCAUGAUUUUAUGCUAACUAUCCCUAUUGAUGGUCUUGGCCAGCAUAUGUCUCAUGUGGAGUACCGAACUAUCCUUCGUUACCGCCUCAUGAUUCCCAUAUUCCCAAUUGACGAGAUAUGCCCAGUUUGUCGCAAGGCAUGUUUGGAUACCUUUGGGAAACACGCGAUUCAUUGUAGAGAGCUCCCUGGUUUCAAGUAUAGACAUGAUGUGGUUCGGGAUGUUCUCUUUGAUGCUUGUCGGCUUGCUGGUAUUUUUGUGAAGAAAGAAGCGCCAGUGAACUUUUUGACGGACCCCCAGGAUGGCAGGUCCACACUUAGACCGGCUGACAUUUUGGUCUUUAGAUGGAUAGGAGGGAAACAUGCAUGUGUGGAUCUUACAGGGGUCUCUCCUCUCGUGGUUUGGGGAGCGGGGGUUUCACAGUUGGGCAUGCCGCUUUGAAAGCCGCUACGUGUAAAAUGGUAAAGCACAAGAAUGCAUGUAGAGAAAAUCAACAUGUGUUUGUUCCUUUUGCAUUCGAUACAUUUGGUUUUCUCGCACCAGAGGCGGUGGAGCUCCUUAAUAGAGUCCAGCGGGUCAUGCACUCUAAUGUCAUAUCUCCUAGAUCCACAAAUGUUGUUUUCAAAAGAAUUGGUUUUGCCAUCCAGAAAGGGCUAGCGGCGCAGCUUGUUGCCCGUUUGCCGUCAAUCGAUAUGUAUUGAACUAUAAUAUUUUUAGUUCCAUAAAAUAAACACAAAAAACAAAACAAAUGAGAUGCAUUUGACUAAAUUUAUUUUAUUAACAUUUUAUAUUCCUUUUUCAUAAUUUAAAAUCAUUAAAAAACUAUAUGGUCCAUUUUGCCCUUACCUUCUAAAUUACUUCAUCUUCAACAUUCGACAUCUGUUUUACACUUAUGCUUUCUUUCUUAUUUUAAUCUCAUCGUAAUGUCAUUUAUAUUGCUCUUGUUUUUAUUUUGAUUUUGUGCUUCUUCAAAAUAAGAAUAAUGAAGAGAUUUUGAUGUUGAUUUUGUUUUUCCUCAUAAGUAAAAAAAAGGAUUAUAUACCUAUCAAUCACGGUACAUGUUUUGUCUAUGGCAACAUAUAGAUAAUCGAGUGUUUCAUAAAUAUUAUUGUGAGUGUGCAAGUCAAAGUUUGUGAUACGUCUUAUUCAAAUUGAUAAGCAUUAUUUCAAGCACGUCCAGACUCCUUAAGGCUUAAGCAAUAACCAGAAAGAUAAAGAAGUUGUGAUAUGAAGCAAUCUGAUUCUAUUAUGACAUAAGGCUUAAAUACGAGUUCAAACAGAGAGAGAAAACAUAGUUCAAUACUUAUAAAAAAUUAAAUAUUCAUCUACUACUAUUUAAAAAAAACAUUAUCUCAACCCAUCACAUAAUCCUCUUGCCAGCUUGGUUUAGUUGUUAUCCUCCGUGAUCGUCUCCUAACCUGUGUUGGCGUAAGUGGUGUAACAUUCUCUCUUCCUUUAGAAAUCACCUUGUCCUCAAGGUGGUAGUUCAGAUAGGCAAGCUUGAAGUCAUCAACCCAUUCUCAUGUUGCCUCCUCAUGUGAACCUCCCGUCCAUUACACCAACAACUGUUGCGCCAUCUGUCCAUUUCGCAGCCAACUUGAGACCCACAAACUGCUAGUGGCUGUUCAAGGGGUUGACCCUCCUCCACCUCCUCUGGUAAAGGUGAAACCACCACGCCGUCAUCACCUGUAAAUGGUUUAAGAACAAAGAUAUGAAAAACGAGAUGUAUCUUGCUUGUUUCCGGCAGUGCGGGUCGAUACGCCACCUUGCCAAUCCACUCGAGAACUUCAAAUGGCCCAUAAUAACGUUUAGACAACUUAUUAGAGAAGCAUUUGGCGAAUGAAACCUGUCGACACGAUUAUAGUUGAACCAACACCUUAUCACAGGUUGAAAUUCGACUUCAUGCCGCUUCUAGUUAGCUUUCAUUUCCAUAUGAUGACGAGCUACACUCAGGUUCUCAUUGAGGCAUCGUUUGAGAACAUCCCAUUCCACCAAUAGUUCAUCCAGAUCAGGUGUAUUGUUUGUCGGGGAUAGUCGUGGAUUGUUGACUCAGUGUGGUAGAGUUUGGGUCCUAGCAUCGGGUGGGGUGAGACAGAUAGUUUAGGAAGAGGCACAUAAGUCAAAAUUUUCUAUCCAUCCGGGGGGCCACGAAGAUGUACAUAAAUUUGAGGUUGAGUUAUUGGUGGCCCUGUAUGAAAAUGGAUAUAACUUGGUUUGUCGAGCGAUACCUAAAUUGCAGGAAAGUCGAGGCCGAGCAUCAGAGACCCCAUAACAAGAUGCAACCUUUACCCAUUCCCAUGUAGAAGUGGGAGGAGAUUGUUGGAUUAGUGUCUAAGUCCAUAAAUAUAAUUGGUAUGUACUUGACCCGAGAGUAUCAUGGUCCAUUUGGGUUGCAUGGCACUGGAACAAUCUAAAGGAUAGAUAAUUUAGAAGAGGUUAUUUAUUGUUUCUUAAUAUAUUAUAAGUUCUAAUAUAUUAAUAUGAAAUCAUAUUAUUUAAUUAGUAUUGAUCAAGAAUUAAUUUGGAAUUAAUUUUGUGAUCAAAAGAGACUAAUUAAAUAUAUGUUGAUUGAUUAUGUAAGUCAUUCAUUCUUAUAAUAUGGGCUUAUGAUCCAUAGUUCUUUGUGUUGGGCUAAACCCAUGUGGUGACCCAUGGAUGAUCCAUGGAGUUUUAAACCCAUGGAGCAUGAGGAAUAUGGAAGGUUAUGCAUAUUAGGGUUUGCAUGGUGUAACCCUAAUUAAGCCACACUAUAUAAGAACCCCUCUAGCUCAUGAAAUCAGACCUAAGGAAGCAUACACGAGGGAAGGCCGAUUUUAUGAGUGCAAGUAACCUCCUCUCAAGUUCCUCCAUUGUUAGUGGUGUUGUGUGAUUCCAUUUGAGGUGCAACACUUGGGGCACUAAGUUCUUAAAGGUCCAAGGUUUCCAACUACAAGAAAAGGUAUGUUAUUCUACUAGAUUUUGUAUUACAUAUACUUCAUAGUAUGUUAAUUAGGAUGAAACCUUGGAAUAUUGAAAGUUUGCAUGCAUAAUAGAGAAAACAUAGAUCCAAGGUUUCUAGGGUUGCAUGUACACCUUAGGAGUGUUAGAAUGCUCAAAAUCCUUCAGUGGUAUCAGAGCCUAGGCUUGUUUUCAAUUAUACUUGAUGCUAUUUGUGUUAAAAGCUUAAAAAAUCAAAUUUCUACUGUCUGGACAGUGGACUUGCCGAGUCCACUGACAGACUCGCCGAGUGAGCCCUAUAAACUGACCAACUCGUCGAGUCAGUUCAUGCACUCAACGAGUUAGUGCUCCUGGAUACAAAAUUUCGAGUUUUAAAGCUGGAAUUGGACUAUGAUCAUUACCCUAAACUGUUUUUGAACUUAUAAACCUAUUUUUGAUGUGGUAAUGAUCAUGUUUAUCCAAUUUAAAAGAUAAUUGUCAAAGUUUCAUGUUUUGUAUUAGUUUUAUGGUUAGGUUAAUUACAUGAAAUUUGUUUGAUAUGAAUUGUCUUGUUCUUAUGAGUUUAAUUUGGAUCAUAGACAAAAUUGUUUGAUUUUUUUUAAGUUACAAUAGUUGAUCUAAAUGUUUUGAUGAAUUCCAUAACUUGUCCUCAAGUUAUGGAAAAUGAAAAGUUUUCCUUUAAAAAGAUCAUUAAACUUAUAGGUUAUGUGAAACACCCGGUUCUUGGUAUGUAUUUAAAUUCAAGUAAUAUCAUGUUUUGUUCUGGGAUUCGGUGAGUUGGAGGCCUAACUCGUCGAGUAGACUCAAUUUUGACCGGGAGGUUUAGUGACCUACUCGACGAGUCGGGAGACCGACUCGACGAGUAGGGCUGUCUGGAUGAAACCCUAAUAUUUAGGGUUUGCACCCUAUUUAAACAACUUAUCCUGCCUCAACCUAGCCCCCAUCGUCCCUCCCAACUCAGUGAAACCCUAAAUUGAAACCCUAACCUUGUUUGAGUGUUCUUGAGCCAUUUUUGUGUGCUUGUGGUGAUUUUGAAGCUUGAGAAGGAAGAAGGAGCUUGGAAGUUCGAGUGGAGGAUAGUAGAUCUAGAGGUUGUGCCCCAUUUCCAACUCAUUUGAGGUAUAAAGCUGAAACCUUGACCAUCUAUCUCUUAGAUCUCUAGUUAGAGUUCAUUUCUACCUUUUCUAAGCCUUAAAGGUGCCAUACUCAGAAUUUUGUGGUUCAUUGAGGGUAUACCUUCAGAUCUGGAACCAUUGGGGGUUCUUAUGGCAUAAAGGUGCCAACUUUAUUAACAUAAGCACCCCAUGCAUCUUGUAGACUUCAUUCUAGAGCCAUUUGGGCCAAAUACCUCAUAUAUGGACGUCAAGAUUGGAACUGUACAUAUAAUAUGGACCCUAGGAGGUCAGAUCUAUGAUUUGGAUGCAGUAAGACCAAUUAAAAUCGACUGUAUACUUUUGGACAAAGAGGGACUCGGCGAGUCGGAUCGCAGUUUCCCCCAAAUGACUUCUGGAAAUGGUCUUGGUUGAGUUGAAGGAAAACUCAGCCUGUUGGGGUUUGCUAUGGACUUGAAGAUCAAAGGACUCGACGAUUUCAAGGAGGGACUCAACGAGUUCAAGGCAAUGUCCCAACCACAUGAAGACGGAUUCGACGAGUUAGACUAAACACCUUCAUACGGAUGAAGAUGAACUCGACGAGUUCAAUGAUGAACUUGGCAAGUCAGUUGAAGAAGGUCCUGAUGUUUUGUUGAAGGCAAUCUCGUCGAACUCUUGCUAGACUCGACGAGUAGGGACGGGGUUGUAGCAUUUUGUGGACAUGGGGACUCGACGAGUUGGUGGACCAACUCGGCGAGUCUAGUCAACCAGAGGUUGACUUUGACCAAGGUUUCGACCUUGACUUUGACUUGGACUUGAGUUGACCGUUGUAAGGGUUAUGAGUAUGAAAUGGAAAUUUAGAAAGGUUGUUGUGUAGGGAUUGAGGAGUUGAGAAGAGUUGAUUUCCAUACUGAGGACAGUGCAGACACUACACAACAUCGAGGUAAGUUACCUUUUAGUAGAGGUGGGUCUACGGCCAUAAUGUCGGACCACUAGCAAGAGUUGUCUUUAAAUGAUUGUGGUUGUGAUAAUUGUCUAGGUUUGCUACUAGCUGAUGUGUCUUAUGUGCCAGCAUGAUAUAUUAUAUGAGAUAGUGGUAGUAGGAGGGGUAUAGUCCCCCGAUUCGGUCGUAAGGACCGAAGGGUAGGUCAGACACCCCAGAUAUGUUUGACAACAUGAAUAUGAUAUGUUAUUAUGUGAUAGUGGUAGUGAGUGAAACAGUCCCCGUGGCCGGUUGAGAUAGACCGGAGGGUAGGCAGGCACCCUAAAAUGGCCUGACGGGUAGGUCAGCACCCCAAAAUGGCUUGACAUGGGUAGGUCAGUACCCCAGAAUGGCUUGACAUGGGUAGGUCGGGCACUCCAGAAUUGCCCGACAGGUGCUUUGUCGGUCCAAAGAUCCUAAAAAAGUGGAGACUGACUAAUGUUGAGUCUAGGAGGUUGCAACAUUGGGCUUCGUUAGUUAGUCCAAUGUUGUCUCGGUAUGAGCCUGUCCAUCCGUGUUUAUGACAUUAGGAUUUAGUAUUUAUGGUGCAUGCAUGCAUCGUCUUUUGUAAGCUUUUCAAGAAUUAUUAUCUCUUUCAUUGUAUUGUAACCCUAGAACACCUCUACAGUAGAAUUUCUUUGUCGAUCUCUUCUGAGGUGUUGCGGUAUUAAUCAUUCAACAUUUGUUUGAUUCAUCAUGUGUUCUUUCUAUUAUUUACAUUCUGAUUUACUUGCUAAAAAUCUAAUCAAUCUUAAAAGAGUUUUUCAUCUCCACAAUUGGUAUCAGAACAGGAGACUGUGUAAUCCAUACGCAUCUCUUCUGUUGAAGAAAGUUUUAGGGUUUCUGCUAUCAUCGUUUUGAUAGAGCCGUCAUCUUGAUAUUGACAUUGCUCUUAGAUCUCUAUUUUACCCUAACAUGUUUACUAGUCUGAUUGUUGGCAAGUUAUCAAACCGAAUCAUCAUGUCACACGACGACCCUCAAUCUAACCCCAUAAACAUAUCCAACAUUAUCAAAUAUACCACAAGAAUCCCGAUUUUAUACACUCAUGAUUAUGAAUUCUAGACACAUCACUUCGAGGACUAUGUUCUUGGUUUAGAGGAAAAUGGGUAUCUAAUCUGGGAAGCAAUCACUGUGGGUUCGUUUACUCAUUCUGGAACGAGCAAAAUUAUCAAGACGCAAAAGGAAUACAAUCAACUUAUGAUUGACGUAGAAAGGUUCCUCAAGACGAGAAGGACAAACUAAUGAGCAACAUCAAAUCCAUGUGGAUGAUCUGAUUUGCCCUAAAAUCUAAUACGUUUCGUCUAGUCAGUACAUGCAUAACAACAAAGAAGAUCUGAGAUAGGCUUAAGGAGAUAUAUUCAACAAAUGAAGAUUUAGAGCACUCGAUACAAACUCUAUUUUUCUUUGAGUUCGGCGACUUCAAGCAGAAGCCGAAAGAGAAACUCAUUCAAAUGUUUGAUCGCUUCAAUCAUCUCCUUAGCAAGAUGAUCAAACAUGGAAUUAGCAGAGAGGUAAUUGAGCAGACAGUCACUUUUAUGAAUGGUCUGAGACCCGAAUGGAUGGCAGUGGUUUCGACUGUAAAAGCUCAUGAACAGUUCAAAGCUUAUUCAUUGGCUAAGCUUGUAGGAAUACUCAAAUCACACGAAAGCAUUGUGACCAAGGAACCGAACGUGGUUUCUAGUAUGGGAUCGUUGGCUCUUCUCUCAAAGGGAAAGAGCAUGGAUGAAGAAGAAGAAGAGUUGGGUCUUUCUGAAUGUGAUCUAACAAACGAAGAAUAUGCAUUGAUGGUCUCUAAUCCCAAGAAGUUCGCUCGCAAAAAGUUACCUACCUCUAAGAACUGAAACUAGCAAUGUAGCUACAGUUCAAAAAAGGCGAAUGUAACACCGUAAAUUUUCAAACAAAAUUUUCAUUUUAAAAUCAUAUAAUUCUCAUAACACAUUUCAUAAAAAUCUCAUUGAUUUAAUUUACAAAACACAACUCCAUGAUUGUUUUGAUUCGUACUCCAGGAUCCUCAAAACAUAACUCCUGCUUUGGUGUGUACAAUCAAGUCGGUGUCUUCCCGCGAUCCUAGGAAAACCUGAAACACAUAUCACAUAACACGGUAAGCAUGAAGCUUAGUGAGUUCCCCAAAAUACUACACAUAUCUCAUUAGCCUCUCAUGGCUGUACUCAGAUAAGACCCUCCGGUCAAUGUGUCUCAGUGGGACCCUCUGGUCCCACAACUCAGUUGGACCCUCCGGUCCCUCAACUCGACAACUCAAUAUAAAACACAACCUAUAAAUCACAAAGACAACUAGCAGGAUAUAUCAAUACACGGUAUAUGCACAUAAGACCCUCCGGUUACACAUAUAUUACCUUAAGGUAAGUAUAGUGAGAACAGUCACCUCGAAUGAUGAAUAGCCCUUAUAACACUACUGCUAUGCAUCGGCCUUUAACUCUGUGCCAAACCCACAAUUAACUCAAUUAGGAACUAAGUCCAAACUCUCACUCAUUAAGUAGAAAGGGAAUCCACUAACUAGCCCAUUAACACCCUGAAACUCAUUUGGCCCAAAAGGCCCAAUACUGAAUGGGCUUGCCCGAGGCCCAACUCUUAAGUCCAAGUGACCAGCCCUACUCAAGGGCCCAAUACAUAAUUAUAAUAUUUUCCCUGCUCAUAGUCUCCAACACCCAAGCCCAAAGAUUCAGGCCCACCCUUAAGGUCCAACAUAUGCUCUAGCCCAAACGCCCACAGAGGAGUUACGCGGAGCGUACCUUUCUUGGUACGCUCAGCGUACUCACGCAUGCAUGAAACUGAUCGGGACAUUAACCCAGUACGCGGGGGCGUACUGGAUCUUACGUCGGGCGUAUGCUCAGUUUGCUUUAGACCAUUCCCUUGGUCUUAACCCGUUAAGUCCUUAGCUCAUUUCUUAGAUCUAGACUCCCUAAUGUCUCUUAAUCCAUAAAGUUAUUGACUAUAAGCCUUUGCAUGGCUGAUUAGGUCACAAACACUCAAAAUAACCAUCCUCUUUCCUCAUGAAUCUGGAAAAUUGAUAAGUAUUAUUUAAAUGUGUUUAUUUGUAUUUGAAUAUUUAUUUGAUAAUGGAUAAAUAUUAUUUAAAUAUGUUUAUUUGAAUUUGAAUAUUUAUUUGAUAAUUGAUAUAUAUUAUUUAAAUGUGUUUGUUUGAAUUUGAAUAUUUAUUUGUUAUUUAAAUUGUGAAUUUAAAUAUUUAAUAUUAUUUAUAUUAUGGAUGUAUAAAUUUGAAUAUUAACCCUCAUGUUUUAUUAAUUGUUAUAUUGCAUCCUCGCAAUUAAUUAGAAUUAAUAAUAGACAACUAAAUUUAAAGAGUUUUAAAUUUACCCCUUAUGUAUAUNUCAUACAUAUAUAGAUAUAUAUAUAUAUAUAUAUAUAUAUAUAUAUAUAUAUAUAUAUUAGAAUUGUGACUAUUAUAUGUAUAAGAAAGUUACAACAUGCGUCCUCGCGUGUUUAAAUAUUGUCAUGGUCAGUCUUACGUGACUAGGCUCAUCCAUUCUAAUGUAGGGGUUUAAGGAGGUCUCUUUGAUUCCUAAUAAGGUCGGUUUUUAAUUUGCUUUGUGCUUACCACCCUCACCGCCCUAUUGCAUUUUGAGAAUGGAGUUACCGAAAGGGUUUGAUAGUGAUAGUGGUCAAUCUAAAAGUAUUCUAAAUACAAGUAUAAAACAAAAUCCCGUUUUAUUAAUAGAAUGUGAGUUUAGAUUAUCCAUGAAAAUUGCACAUUGUCUUUAUAUUUUGUUUGUGGAGCUCGCGUGGUUAACCGACACAUCAAUCUAGAGUAUAGUUGAGAAUGAUAUGGAACUCGCAAAUCUCAAGCGUAACUUGAGCCGGGGACCAUGCAAAUUUGCAAGGUUAAUUCUCAAUCUAUAUAAUAUGAAUCUUAUGUUAUCCAUAAAAGUUGCACAAUCUCUUUAUAACUUGUUGAUGGAGCUCACGUGGUUAACCCACACGUCAAUUUGAGAGUAUAGGCAGAGAAUGAUGUGGAACUCGCGAAUCUCAAGCAUAACUUGAGCCGGGGAGUGGGGACCAUGCGAUUUUGUAUGGUCGAUUCACCAUCUGUCCAAUAUUCCGCGGCGACUGUCAUUGAAUUUGAGAUGAACAUAAUCCGAGAUUAACAUGCCAUUGAUAGUCAAUGAAUCUCAAAGAUCUAGGAAUUUCGUGGUGAUCGAAAUUGGCAAAGGGCUUUGCCUACCUAAAUAACUUUAUGGUGCGUUUAAGGCAUCCCUUUACACAUCAUGGACUCAAAUAUGGAUCCUAGCCUUCUAAAAUAAUUUAGGGUGAUUAUUUUCUAAGGAUAAGUAAAACAAACUAUAAUGGAAUUUUACUGAAUGAUGUCGAAAACCUUAUCCACUAAAAUCUACUGCUAUAAAACCUUUGAAAGGAUUAGAUGUGAGGAUGAUCAAUCUUGUCAAUUUCGUAGUUUGGGAAUAGUUCUCAUAAAUGAAAGGAAAGAUCAUGCCUUUGUUAAAGCUCUUCCUAGGUUACUUCAAACAUUGUAUUCUAAGUUGUUAGAAAGAGCAAUUAUCAAAUGUACGUUGUAAAUUGACAUAUUGAAGUAAAAUGGAAUUUCCUUGAGUUAGGAGUUGACUAUGGUUAGUCGACUAGCUAACACGUACAUAUGAUCAGUUCAUUCUGAUUUUGAUAUGAAAAACUUGGAAUGUCCAUUAAGGAGUUGUGUAGCAUGCUGAGGUUUCCUUUUGGAACUAGCAUGGCCAAUCAUAGAAACACAUACUUCAAAACACACCCAUAUUUUACUAUCAUGAGUAGAAGUGUCAAGAAGAAGAAAACCAAUUACCCACGGUUUAAAAGGAGAUUAGUGUAGGUAUACCUAAUCUAGGCCCUAAUACCUAGGACAAAGGAAGGCUUAUUCUAAUACAUGUUUUGAUAGCAAUUCGUUUCCAUAACAUGAAAAAGUACUAAGAAAGAAAACUUGCCCAAAUGUAUAUUUGAGGUGAAAGGACUACAACAUGAAGAAGUUAAAUUUGAUUGUGGAUCACGAGCCCGUGCUACUUUCCAUAGGAUCAAAAGAUAACUAGUUCUCCCAUGUUUGGUGUUCAAUCAAAUAUAUGGAUUUAUAAUGCCAUCAAAACAUUACUUCUAAACCUUGAGUGUUUUGCUAAGGAUUAGUGCUGACAUUUACAAGAAUGUGCAAUCACUAAAAUGAAGUAAGAAGACUAAAAUAUGGAGAAGAUAGUCUGAUCAUGAAUGCCAAGCCCUUGCUACAUUCAUAUGAUCAAAAGAAAACUCUUUUCAAAAUGUAUAGUAUAUGCUAUUAUAAUUGAAAUUGUUUGUAUUAUGAUUCAUGAGAUAAUUCUGACUUAUUUAAAUGUGGAGCAUUCUAACAUGUUAAAAGAAAGUCAUGAAAUCUAUGAAGCUAGUAUAGUAGCAAUAGUUCGAACAUUUGAAUAAGGUGUAUUAUUAUGAAUAUAAGUUGAUGUUAGUUCAACUAAUGGAUCGUUCAGAUUGACCAUAAUAAGUACUUAUUCAAAUACAACCAAAUGUUUGGGUGAAAUGUAUUUGUGGAAUCAUAGUACUGGAUACAUAAAUGAGAUAUGCAUUACCAAGUAUCCAGGUGGAUCAGAUUUUGGAUAUUAUUUGACCUCAAGUCUUAUGAUAAAUGCAAAUCUUGUUUAUCAAGAUAGAUGAUGAAUGCGUCACUAGGUGAUGUAAGUAUAUGUUGGAAUUAGUUCACACUAAUGGACUGUUCAGAUUAACCACGAUACAUAGUGAGACCAACUUCGUAUGAAUGUGAGUCUGGAACCUCUCAAGUGUUCAGAGCUCUCAUAUAGCAAAGUUAAGAAUCAAUUGGACAAUAGGAUGAGACACUCAUACAGAGAAUCUCAGUCCAAACUUUAUCGAUCAUCUAAGUGAUCGUGAAAGAGUUUCAUGAUCUAUCUCCGCCCAAAGCACUACCAUUAGGAAGUGUUAGUUAGAUAGAGAAACAAAUCGUUCAUUGAUUUUGUACUAGAUGAGUCGCAUUGUGUUUGCUAACAAUUUGUGGAUUAUACCAUGAAUAGUGUUACAAGAAGUCCUUUGGUCUUGUGCCAACUAAGUAGGUUCCUGAAACACUCUAUGAUAUGUGAAGUAGGAUUCUAUCCUCACUGCCAUAUCUGUAAGUCUACGAGUAUGAGGCUUACGCUUGUCAUGAAGCGCUCAACAAUCUAGGACUUUGAUUAAAGAUGUGUUAUCUCGUUGGAGAGCCCAUCAAGCAUUUUGGAUAAUUGUUUAACAACCUUCUGAGAACAAAGUGUAUGUUGCUUAAAGGGCAGUCUUCCAAGAGAGGGAGCUGAUUUCCAAAAGGGCUAGUGGGAGCCACACUGAUCUUGAUAAGAUUCAAGAGUCAACCAACGAAGAUCCUAAAGUUGGACAUAAAAUUCAAUUUGGAAUUGAAAGAGCUAUUAAGGAAACUGACAUGUUUCCAUUUUCCUUAUAGAUCUGAUAGAAGACGUCAUGGACCUAGUUAUAUAAGAGUUUAUAUUGCUAAGGUAUUUGAGUCACUUCUAGAUAGCAAUCAGAGUGUACCGGCUAUCGUAAGCUAUGGUAGGCCCUAAAGGCAACAACAUAGAAAGAGGAAUUGGAAAGCGAGAUUCACUCCAUGUAUGUUGUUAUUUGGUAGACCAAGCACUUGACCUUAACCCUUAGGGGCAAGUAGAUCUUCAAGUAGAAACAAUCAUGGAUAGGAACAAACACAUAAUUAAACCAAGAUAGGUUUUGAAGGAUGUGUAAGCUUAAUAAGUUCAUUUAUGGACCGAAAUAAGCAUCUCGCAAGUGGGAUCAUUAUUUCAAUGAGAAAGUUCAAGGAGUUUGAAUUUCGAGAAAUAAAGAUAAGCCAUAAUAUAUGUAAAAGCUAGUGGGAGUAAUUGGAAUUGUUUUUUUAAUGAGAAAAGUUCAAGGAGUUUGAAUUUCGAGAAACAUAGAUAAACCAUAUAUAUGUCAGUGCUAGUGGGAGCACUGUAGUCACCCUUGUAUUGUACACAGACAAUGUACGAUUUAUUGGAAACCAUAUUCUAACAUGGCAGGUGUAAAAGCUUGGCUUGGUAUGAGAAUUGUUUCACUAUGAUAUACAUGGGAGAUACAAGACACGUGCAUAAUAAGGAUCUAUGGAGAUAGAUUAAAGUGAUUCAUUGGAUUAAGCCAAAGUACAUGGAAUGUUGAGGAAACUCGAAAAGGAGUUUAGGCUUAUUACAAUAUGGCACGGCAUUGAGCAAUGCUAAUGUCCCGGUUCUACUACUGAGCUAAAGCAAAUGAUUUGUGUCCCACAUGCUCCUGCUAUGGGAUCGAUCAUAUAUGCCAUAACAUGUACCAAAUCUGAUGCCUCGUAUACCUUGUGCAUGAUAAGUUGGAUUAGAUCAAUUUGGUGAGAAUCAACGAAUCAAGAUCAAGAACAUUCUUAAGUGUCCUUGGAGGACAGAAGAAAUGAUAUUGAUAAUAUGGAAGAGAUCAGUGUAAGAGUUACAUUGAUGCUAAGUUCCAAACUGAUAAACGCAAUUUCGUUUGCAAUCGGAAUUCGUGCUUUUACUAAAUGGUGAUAUAUUAGCUUGGAAGAGUACCAAAUAAUACACCAUAGUGAAUUUAACAUACUUAGAGUAUGUUGAAGUUGGUCAAAUUGCAAAGAAGACAAUGUGGCUGAAAGAGAUUCAUUAGUGACAUCUUUGUUGAAAUUCAAUCAUUGAUGGUCCUUAUGAAGUUUCUUGUGACUUUAGGGGUGAACUUACCUCGAAUAUGGAUCCUAAGUCACACAAGCUCACAUUACACAUACUCAGUAAGUACUAACGCAUUUGAUAGUGAGUCAAAUGUAAAAACAUCGUAGUCAACGAUUCAUAUCGAAAAAUAUUCUUGUUGAUCCAUUCCUAAGCCAAUAUCACUGACCAAGUCUGACAGUCAGACAAAGUCUAGAGGCAUUAGAUUUGCAAAUGAAUUAGAUUAAACACUCUUAGUUUGGUUUGUUUUAAAACCCGAGAACUUUAAGCAGUAUAAGUUUUUCAUUUGAUUUGGCGAUUAUUAAGUGGUGAUCUUAAUACAAGAUGGAUUUCGAUCAUUUCAAUUAGCCUAUCACUACAUUCUCACUUUUGCAUGUUUGGAACCCAAUUCUCGAGUAUUAAUUUACUCAAACGUCCACAGUCGUACAUACUCUUGGAAGUAAGUAGUGAUCCAAGUCUAUCAUGAGUAUUAGUGGCUUGUCUAUAUUGAUUGGACAUAGCAAAGAGAUUGCGCUAACACUCAUGAGUGCUUAAUAGAGAUUUAAGUAUUGGACCAACCCACGUUUAGAGAUUAUUUCAUGGAUUUAGUCACGAGUAAUUCUAAGACGAUAAUAUCUUCUAUUCUUUAAACCUAGAUACAUGUGGGCUUUUGCUCUAUGAUUUUGUUAUGCAUUGGACUACUCCAACGCUAACCAUAACUGGUAGUUAUAAAGGGUAUGUCCAUGUGUGACAUGAUGAAAUAGACAAAAACUAUGUAGUCGAAGUUUAUUCGUUCCUUCUGCCUUAAUGGGAGAAGCGAUAUCUAUGGGCCCCUUGAUGAUUUGGUGUUGACAUCUAAAGUGCUUGGUCGAGCCCUGACUGGAAUUGAUGUGUUCAAUUUAGUAGUCAGAUGCAGUCAUCACAAAUCUAUAUCGGGAAACAUAAUCUUGAAUUUUUUAGAUUGACCAUUAUCCAUGUCUCGAACUCAUACAGAUAUCAUAGAACGAAGGGAUAGUUGAUCACUUUUCUAAGAGCUGAAUCUUGAUUAGAUCAAGAGUUCGGUAGUUGCAUUGGAUGGCUAACUCUCUGUUGAUUAUUGGAGAAAUAUUAGUCCUCGUAUAGUUGAUGAAUUGUCCAAGUGGGAGACUGUUGGAAUAGUGUCCGAGGUCAUUAACUAUUGGUACUAUUUCUAAUGUUGGGCUUUAGCUUAUUGGUUGACUAUUAGGCCUUUGGAGUGUGAGUUGGACCUUGGGCUUGGAACCCAUUUAUUAAUUGGGUGUUGUUGGAUGUUGACAUCUUGUAAAUCUGUCAACCAGCAGCUGGAGUUUUGUCUGCGGGACUUCAGCAGCGCGUCAGGUGAGUUAUCCUCACUAUCGUAACGACCCAAUUUUCACGUCCAAAAAUUCCAUUUUUGAUUAAGUGAUUUGCAAAAUAUUAUAACAUAAUAUCAACCGAUCAUAUCAUUUCAUAAAAACAUGUCUCAUGUCUGAAAACCGAAUCGUAAAAACAUAAUAAUGUGCCGCUACCGCGCCAGCUCCUUCCCCUUAGCUGAAGAGGUACCUGAAACCAAAACUAUAAACUGUAAGAACGAAGCUUAGUGAGUUCCCUCAUCGUACCACACACCAUACAAAUCACAUCACAUACAUACUGUCGGACAAUUCUGGGGUGCCGACCUACCCGUACGACCAUUCUGGGUUGCCGACCUACCCGUGUUAAGCCAGUCUGGGGUGCUGACCUGCCCGUCGGUCUUAACAACCGACCCUCGGGGACUAUUCCACCCCCUACUACUACUAUCACAUAUAUCAUAACAUAAACAUAUUAUCAGACAUAUCUGGGGUGUCCGAACUACCCUUCGGUCCUAACAACUGAACUCUACUACUAUCACAUAUAACAUAUCAUGUAGUAGCAAACCUAGAUGAAUAUCACAAAGACAAAAAUCUAACAUACAACUCCUACUGGUGGGCCGGCAUUGUGACCGUAGACCCACCGCUACUGGAAGGUAACUCACCUCGUAGUAGCUACUGAACUGUGCGGGAAUCCUCUGCCUCCUGCCGCUGCUGCUCCGGAAAUCCUCCGGCUAUAAUUCCCACAAAACACUUAGUCAUACACUGCUAACUGUUCUUAGGGUAAAAUGACCAUUUUAACCCUUACCAAGUCAAAGUCAAAGUCAACUUCCAGUUGACCUGACUCGCCGAGUUGGCUCGCCAACUCGUCGAGUCCCUAUCCUUCCAUUUGUCCUUAUACCCGCCUCUACUCGUUGAGUUAGGCGAUAACUCGACAAGUUUUCAUUCUAAAUGAAUAUCGAAUGAAUCCUCAUCCGACUCGCCGAGUUGUAUGAACAACUCGUCGAGUUCAUCUUCAUCCUUAGAAGAUUGCCUUGGACUCGCCGAGUACGUUCAUGCACUUGCCAAGUCCCAUGAACUUCCAGAACAAAGGAUUAGUCUAGAUCGUUGGGUCACUCCCCGGGACCCUCCCUAAAACCUUUCCUCACUCACUGGGUCCUUUUGACCCUCAACUGAUAUGGGACAGAAACCUUGGACUCGCCGAGUCCAAGAAUGGACUCGUCGAGUUAGUCACAUCCACUCACUAAAUCUUCGAUUUCUGAUGUACAACCCUUGAUCAAAAGAUAGAUCUAUGCUUCUACAAUCGAUCUAGCACGUAAAGUUACAACCUUUACGUGCUUGCAUGGGACUUUGAUCUCAAAAGGUCCUAAAACAAGAUCUUACAAUGCAUGGGGCCUUCUUUGAGUGCAAAAGCCACUCCUUUCUGCCUUGUAACCCCUCUAAGGAACCAGAUCCGAAACAUCAACCCCAAACCAUGCUUGCAAUCAUGGUUGGUGACCAAAAUGGCUUAGAAAAAGCCCUAAAACUCCACAAAAUGGGAUCUAUCAAAAGAGCAAACAAGGUAUAGACUUUAUACCUUCUGUAGACUGCAAAUGAUGCUCAAAGUCGGAUCCCUCUAGCCUCCUCUUGAUCCUUCAAGCUUUUCCUUCCUUCUUUGGAUCAUAAAAGCACCAAAAUCACUCCAAAUGCCUUAGAUUGCUUCAAUAACGGCUAGGGUUUGCUAUGGGGGUCUUCUGGGAGCAAAUGGGACGAAGGAGGCCGAGUUAAGGUGUUGAAAUAGGGUGCAAACCCUCAGAUUAGGGUUUUUGUCCAGAUAGGGCCUACUCGCCGAGUCCGAGACCCAACUCGUCGAGUCCGCAGCUUAAACUCCGCGUCUCACCCCGCUUCUACUCGGCGAGUUGGUCCUUCAACUCGCUGAGUCCAAGGCCAAAAUGCAAAAUAUGUUAAAGAAGAGAAUAUGUACCAAGAACCAGGUGCUACGAAUCUCCCCCACUUAUUUUAGACUUCGUCCUCGAAGUAUGGUGCUCGAUCCUGAAACAGCUCGGGGUAAUGCUCCAUCAUCUCGUCCACCGGCUCCCAAGUCCACUCUGACCCCUUCCGGUGCUGCCAUUGAACCUUCAUGAGUUCCGCUCUUUUGUUCCUCAAAUCCUUCGACUUCCAGUCGAGGAUUGCCACCGGUCGCUCAAUGUAGUUCAGGCUGCCAUCAACCUGAAUGUCCUCCAAGGGUACCACUGCUGAGGCGUCCACCAGGCACUUUCGCAGCUGCGAAACAUGGAAAGUGUUGUGUAUCUGAAUGAGUUCGGCUGGCAAAUCCAGCCUAUACGACACCUUGCCCACCUGUGCUACAACCCUGAACGGUCCAAUGAACCUGGGGCCCAACUUGCCCCGCUUCCUAGAUCGGAUAACGCAUUUCCAUGGCGACACCUUCAGGAGAACCAUAUCCCCGACUUGGAACUCCAGGUUCUAUCAGCGCUUAUCGACAUAGCGUUUCUGCCGACUAUGAGCAGUCUGAAGCCUGCUCCGGACCUGCUGAAUCUUCUUUGUCGUCUUGAGCACUACCUCAGUGCUCCCCAUCACCCUCUGGCCAACCUCGCCCCAACAUAUCGGGGUCCUGCACUUCCUCCCAUAUAGCAUCUCGAAGGGAGGACGAUCAAUGCUCGCAUGAUAACUAUUGUUAUAGGAGAACUCUGCCAAUAGAAUGUCGGUAUCCCAACUACCCCCGAAGUCUAACACACAUGCUCGCAGCAUAUCCUCCGGGGUAUGGAUGGUCCGCUCGCUCUCACCAUCCGUUUGCAGGUGAAAGGCGUUGCUAAAAUGCAGGCGAGUACCCAGCUCGUCAUGAAACUUCUUCCAAAACCUGGAAGUGAACUGCACAUCCCUGUCUAAAUCACAGAAACUGGCACACCAUGCCGCACCACCACCUCCCGAAUAUAGAUGUCGGCCAACUUCUCGGCUGAGAUGCUCUCCUGAAUCGGGAUAAAAUGGGCGCUCUUGGUCAAUCGAUCGACGAUGACCUAGACCGAAUCCACUCCUCACGCGGUCCUGGGAAGCUUGGUGAUAAAAUCCAUCAUGAUGUCUUCCCAUUUCCACAGCGGAAUAUCCAACGGCUGCAUCUUGCCGUGAGGUCUCAGAUGCUCCGCCUUGACCUUCCGGCAGGUCAAGCACCGCUCCACAAACCAUGCCACAUCCCGCUUCAUGCAGGGCCACCAAUAAUCCAGACUAAGAUCCGUAUACAUAUUCGUCUCCUCGGGAUGAAUGGAGAACCGAGAUUUGUGUGCCUCCUCCAUCAGAACCUGGCGCACACCCCCGUGGUAUGGCACCCACACCCUACGGUGUAGUGUCAGUAAUCNNNNNNNNNNNNNNNNNNNNNNNNNNNNNNNNNNNNNNNNNNNNNNNNNNNNNNNNNNNNNNNNNNNNNNNNNNNNNNNNNNNNNNNNNNNNNNNNNNNNNNNNNNNNNNNNNNNNNNNNNNNNNNNNNNNNNNNNNNNNNNNNNNNNNNNNNNNNNNCUUGCGGCUAAGCGCGUCGGCCACCACAUUGGCCUUCCCCGGGUGAUAAAGGAUCUCGCAAUCGUAAUCCUUUACCACGUCCAUCCACCGACGCUGCCUCAUGUUUAGAUUCGGCUGAUCCAUGAGGUACCUUAAACUCUUAUGGUCCGUGUAGAUGGUACAACGAACCCCAUAGAGGUAAUGACGCCAAAUCUUGAGGGCGAACACAACAGCCUCCAGCUCCAAAUCAUGCGUCGGGUAGUUCGCCUCGUGAGGCUUCAGCUGCCUCGACGCGUAGGCGAUGACAUGCCCUCUAUGCAUCAAUACUACGCCCAACCCUGAGAUGGACGUAUCGCAGUACACAGCAAAAUCCUCCAUGCCCUCUGGUAGGGCUAAGAUUGGCGCCUCGCACAAUCUCUGUCUCAAUGUCUCGAACGCGGCCUGCUGCUCAGGCCCCCAUUGAAAGACCAUGACCUUCCUUGUUAGCCUGGUCAGGGGUAUGGCUAUCUUGGAGAAAUCCUGGAUGAAUCUCCGAUAGUAGCCGGCUAAUCCUAGGAAACUUCGAAUCUCAGAUGGAGACUUCGGAACCUCCCAUCUCAUCACGGCCUCCACUUUGGCCAGGUCCACUGAAAUUCUGUUCUGGUUGACGAGAUGCCCAAGGAACUGCACCUCGCGCAACCAAAACUCACACUUAGAGAACUUAGCAUACAAGUUCUCCCUCCUCAAGGUCUCCAGCACCUCUUGCAGGUGCUCCUUGUGCUCCUCCUGCAUCUUGGAAUAAACCAAGAUAUCAUCAAUAAACACUAUCACCGACCGGUCUAACAUCGGUCUACAUACGCGGUUCAUGAGGUCCAUGAACGCUGCAGGAGCAUUGGUGAGCCCGAAGGGCAUCACCACAAACUCGUAGUUGCCAUAGCGCGUCCGAAACGCAGUCUUCUGUACAUCCUCCUCUCUGACCCUCAUCUGAUGAUAUCCUGAACACAGGUUAAUUUUGGAGAUCCAAGAUGCGCCCUGUAGCUGGUCAAAGAGGUCAUCAAUCCUCGGGAGUGGGUAACAAUUUUUCACCGUUACCUUGUUCAGCUCCCGAUAAUCUAUACACAUCCGAUGCGACCCGUCCUUCUUCCUCACAAACAGAAUCAGGGCUCCCCAGGGAGAACUACUCGGUCUAAUGAAUCCCUUGUCUAACAGAUCCUGCAGCUAUAUAGACAACUCCUGCAUCUCAGGAGGAGCCAACCGAUACAAUGCCUUGGCUAUCGGAGCCGCACCAGGGACUAGGUCGAUCCUGAACUCCACCUGCCUCUCCGGAGGUAUCCCUGGCAACUACUCAGGGAAUACAUCCGUAAACUCUCGCACCACGGGCACAACAUCCACUAUCGCCUUACCCGUCUCUCGGGUGUCCAUGACAUAAGCGACAUAUCCUGCGCAACCCUGCCGAAGGUAACGCCUAGCCCUCGCUGCUGAACAUACCGCUCGUCCUUUCUAUGGCCUCUCGCCCUGAACUACCAACUCUUCCCCACUUGGGGUCCUGAUCCGAACUAGCUGCUGUGCGCAAUCUAUCACUGCCCCAUUGGGGCUCAACCAAUCCAUGCCUAUAAUUACCUUGUUCCCUCUCAACGAAAUAGGAACCAGGUCUACCAGAUAACGCUCCUCGAAUAUUCUUAGCACACAAUCUUGGAAUAUCGUCGAUGCUCGCACCGAUCGGUCAUCUGCAAUCUCUACCUCUAAAGGGCAAUCCAACAUGCCCGAAGACUCAAGGAACUUCUUGCUAAGCGCAAUAGAGACAAAUGAUCGAGUAGCACCCGAAUCAAACAAUAUCUGAACUGGAAUACCGUUCACAUGGAAAAAUCCUAAACAGAGCACAUACAUAACAUGUCAAAAUCACAACAGCAUAUCAUAACAACAUAAAUAAGAAGUCAUACCUGUCACCACAUCGGGUGCAGCGUGCCUCCUCGGUAGUCAACUGGAAUGCCCCGGCUCCUCACCACUGGAGCCUCUGCCUUGCCCUGCCGGCCAUCAGUGAUCCACAGGGUCGCUGGAGCUGGCACCUUCACUGGCGUUGAUGCUGCUGUCAACUGGGGGCAAUUGGCCUUCAUGUGGCCCCUCUAGUUGUAGUGGAAACAUAGCAACUCAGACGUCUGAAUAACCGGUGCAGGGGCAGUACAGUCCCUACUGAAGUGCCCCGUCUUUCCGCACUUAUAGCAGCCCGAUGAUCCCAAUCUACACGCCCCCUCAUGUGGCCUGCCGCAUUUCCUGUAGCGGCCCGGUCCUGACUGGCCUUCCGGCCUACCAUCUGAUCCCUUGGGCUUCUUCCCCGAAGCGCCAAUUGUCUGACCCUCCUCAGUCUUCCUCUUCCGGACAUGCUCUAGAUCAAUCUCCCUCUCCCUAGCCCUGGCAAUCAUGGAAUCCAGGGUAGGGCAAGCUGAAAAACUAACAUGCUCCCGAAUGUCGGCUCGCAACAUGUCAUGAUAGCGGGUCCUCCUUAUAUCCUCAUCUCCCGAAUACUGGGGCACCAGAAAUACCCUCUCCCGGAACUUGGCGGUGAUCUCUGCCACAGUCUCCGUAGUCUGUCUCAUGUCCAAAAACUCUCUGGCCAGCUGUUGAAGCUCUACCGCUGGCGUAAACUUUGCUCGAAACCGGGUCACAAAAUCCGACCAUGUCAUAGCCUCAACAGCCGAGGCUCCCAAUGAGUCACCAACAGACUCCCACCAGUCUCUAGCUCUGUCUCUCAAACACCCUGCUGCAUAUCUCACCUUCGACCCUCGGGGCAGAAGCUGGUCAACUGUGCGGACUCAAUGUCUGCAAUCCAUCGUCUAGCAGCAAUGGGGUCCUUUACCCCAUGGAAAUGCGGCACACCACUGCUCCUGAAGUCCUGAAAGGACAGUGUGCGGGAUCCUGACUGGCCAGACGCCACAUCACUCCUUAACGCCCUGAGGCGAUCCUCCAUCAGCUCAACUAUCCCUUCCUUGAUCGACCCAAAGAUGAUGGGGGUCCACUCAAGGAUGCCUCUGGUGAUCUCUGACGCGAUGAACUCGCGUAGCCUCUCGUCUACUGGCUUGGAACCUGAUUGUGAACCCGAUCCCUCUCCUGAACUGCCAACUACUGGCCUCUAUCGAAGUACCACCAUUCUGCAAUACAUAAUACCAACUGUUAGUGAUACCGAUACCUCUAGAGGGAUCACAUCCACUACAAGUUUCCUGGUCUUCCACAUCUAUCCGUAUCUUCCUCAAGGUAUGCCUUGACUCCACCAAGUCCCUUUCACCACUGCUAAUUCUCUUCUAUUCCCAUUCUAGGCUUACCCUAGGGAAAAUCUCUGACGCCACCCAAACCGGUCCUCAGCUGCUGAAGGUCUCCUUGUAAUGCCAAUUCCACUACCUGNCCAUCACAUGUGAUGAGGCUCAGAUAAUCCUUCGAGUAACAGACUCGUCUCUACAAUGGUUAGACUCAGACAAGAGCUGCGCAAUAGGGCCAAAUCUAGCACUCUGAGAUUAUUCAACCAUGAUCACAUGUGACGUGGCGUAUUCACCUAAUGGCUAACUUACAUCACUUAGAGUCCCUCAAAGCACAAAGCAAGCGGCAUUCGGACGCAGAAAAAAAACUACUCAAGCAAAUUUGUUCUCAUAAUGAGAAAUUGCACUAGCAUACAAUGCUAAGCUCAUACUAUUAGGCAUAACCUAAACAGGCCAUCCUAUUGUUGUCUACUCAAUACUAGCAUGCAUUUCACAUAAGCUGAAGCACAUAGAGCAGGCACAUAAGGCAUCAUUUCUAGAUCCUUAGUCCUAUUCUAGCAUGUUGUUCUACUGAAUCUGAUAAACAUAGUAUAACAUUGUAUGGGUACUUUGGGGAAUACUUACUUGAGCUCGGCCGGUCGCGCACAUCACACACUUGUUAUUUCUCAAAAACUCUUCUGUCUUAUUCUUUAGAAAGCCAUUUUCUUAUAAAAUCUUUUAAUCCCUCGAUUUGAGUCCAGACACCCCUUGAAGGUGUGUCCGAAUCCCUCAAAUCAAGGCUCUGAUACCAACUUGUAACGACCCAAUUUUCACGUCCAAAAAUUCCAUUUUUGAUUAAGUUAUUUGAAAAAUAUUUAUAACAUAAUAUCAGCCGAUCAUAUCAUUUCAUAAAAACAUGUCUCGUGUCUGAAAACCGAAUCGUAAAAACAUAAUAAUGUCAGAGUACAAAUCCCAGAAUAACUCAUAGUGCGGAAAACAAUGUGUGUGUAUGAUGUGCCGCUACCGUGCCAGCUCCUUCCCCUUAGCUGAAGAGGUACCUGAAACCAAAACUAUAAACUGUAAGCACGAACCUUAGUGAGUUCCCCCAUCGUACCACAUACCAUACAAAUCACAUCACAUACAUACCGUCGGGCAAUUCUGGGGUGCCCGAACUACCCGGUACGGCCAUUCUGGGGUGCCGACCUACCCAUGCGGCCAUUCUGGGUUGCCGUCNNNNNNNNNNNNNNNNNNNNNNNNNNNNNNNNNNNNNNNNNNNNNNNNNNNNNNNNNNNNNNNNNNNNNNNNNNNNNNNNNNNNNNNNNNNNNNNNNNNNNNNNNNNNNNNNNNNNNNNNNNNNNNNNNNNNNNNNNNNNNNNNNNNNNNNNNNNNNNNNNNNNNNNNNNNNNNNNNNNNNNNNNNNNNNNNNNNNNNNNNNNNNNNNNNNNNNNNNNNNNNNNNNNNNNNNNNNNNNNNNNNNNNNNNNNNNNNNNNNNNNNNNNNNNNNNNNNNNNNNNNNNNNNNNNNNNNNNNNNNNNNNNNNNNNNNNNNNNNNNNNNNNNNNNNNNNNNNNNNNNNNNNNNNNNNNNNNNNNNNNNNCAUUGUGGCCGUAGACCCACCGCUACUGGAAGGUAACUCACCUCGUAGUAGCUGCUGAACUGUGCGGGAAUCCUCUGACUGCUGCCGCUGCUGCUCCGGAAAUCCUCCGGCUAUAAUUCCCACAAAACACUUAGUCAUACACUGCUAACUGUUCUUAGGGUAAAAUGACCAUUUUACCCCUGACCAAGUCAAAGUCAAAGUCAACUUCCAAUUGACCUGACUCGCUGAGUCCCUAUCCUUCCAUUUGUCCUUAUACCCGCCUCUACUCGUCGAGUUAAGCGGUUACUUGACGAGUUUUCCUUCUAAAUGAACAUCAACUGAAUCCUCAUCUGAUUCGCCGAGUUGUAUGAACAACUCGUCGAUUUCAUCAUCAACUGAUACACAGGUCCUGUCCUUGACUCGCCGAGUUGUAUGAACAACUCGUCGAGUUCAUCUUCAUCCUUAGAAGAUUGCUUUGGACACGCCGAGUCCGUUCUUGCACUCGCCGAGUCCCACGAACUUCCAGAACAAAGGAUUAGUCUAGAUCGUUGGGUCACUCCCCGGGACCCUCCCUAAAACAUUUCCUCACUCACUGGGUCCUUUUGACCCUCAACUGAUAUGGGACAGAAACCUUGGACUCGCCGAGUCCAAGAAUGGACUCGUCGAGUUAGUCACAUCCACUCACUAAAUCUUCGAUUUCUGAUGUACAACCCUUGAUCAAAAGAUAGAUCUAUGCUUCUACAAUCGAUCUAGCACGUAAAGUUACAACCUUUACGUGCUUGCAUGGGACUUUGAGCUCAAAAGGUCCUAAAACAAGAUCUUACAAUGCAUGGGGCCUUCUUUGAGUGCAAAAGCCACUCCUUUCUGCCUUGUAAUCCCUCUAAGGAACCAGAUCCGAAACAUCAACCCCAAACCAUGCUUGCAAUCAUGGUUGGUGACCAAAAUGGCUUAGAAAAAGCCCUAAAACUCCACAAAAUGGGAUCUAUCAAAAGAGCAAACAAGGUAUAGACUUUAUACCUUCUGUAGACUGCAAAUGAUGCUCAAAGUCGGAUCCCUCUAGCCUCCUCUUGAUCCUUCAAGCUUUUCCUUCCUUCUUUGGAUCAUAAAAGCACCAAAAUCACUCCAAAUGCCUUAGAUUGCUUCAAUAACGGCUAGGGUUUGCUAUGGGGGUCUUCUGGGAGCAAAUGGGACGAAGGAGGCCGAGUUAAGGUGUUGAAAUAGGGUGCAAACCCUCAGAUUAGGGUUUUUGUCUAGAUAGGGCCUACUCGCCGAGUCCGAGACCCAACUCGUCGAGUCCGCAGCUUAAACUCCGCGUCUCACCCCGCUUCUACUCGGCGAGUUGGUCCUUCAACUCGCUGAGUCCAAGGCCAAAAUGCAAAAUAUGUUAAAGAAGAGAAUAUGUACCAAGAACCAGGUGCUACAACUAUACUCAAGGGUCUAAUGCACCAAGGCCGGCCCUUUGGAUUGUUAUCUGGUUAUGAUAUGCUAUUAUGAUCUGUUAGAUCGGUAUCCUAGAGGGUAGGAUAAUAUUAUGUGGUAUGUGGUAUGAUAUGUUAGUUCGGUAUCCUAGAGGGUAGGAUAAUAUUAUAUGUUAUGUGAGUAUGAUCUGUUAGAUCAGUAUCCUAGAGGGUAGGAUAACAUUAUGUUGUACGUGGCAUGAUCCGCUAAAUCAUUUUUUAUUUAUAGACUGCUAUGUGAUUAUCUGUUAUAUGUGCACAUGUUUAUUUGGCGGUUGAUGCUUAUCUGCUUUGUGCGAAAGCCAAUAGACCUGGGCAUUCCAACUUGUUGGUUGUGGGCCGUGAGUAUUCCAUCCCCAUGAUGACUGGACUCAUAGUAUGUGGGCAUUCCAACAUGUUGGUUGUGGGCCUGGCAUAUUCCAUCCCGAGGAUGAUUGGACCCAUAGUGUGUUGGCAUUCCAACCGGAUGGUUGAGGGCAUGGGGUAUUCCAACCCGAUCGUUGACUGGACCCAUAGUAUGCUAUUAUGAGUAUAUGUAUAUUGUUGUGGGUAUGGGUAUUUUGGGGGAACUCACUAAGCUUUGUGCUUACGGUUUCAAUCUAUUGUUUCAGGUGCUUCAUAUGGCUUGACUAGGCGAAGGCAUGACCGUACACAUCUUCGUGUUUUGGACUUAUGGUUUCUGGGAUACUCUGAUAUUAGAUAAUUUUGAAAACAUUUUGUAAUAACUAAUGACUUUUGGAUGUUUGAAAGAGUUUUAAAUUGACCUGAUUUUUAUGGGUGUUACAAGGGUUUAGUAUUUAUGUUGCAUGCAUGCAUCGUCUUUUGUAAGCUUUUCAAGAAUUAUUAUCUCUUUCAUUGUAUUGUAACCCUAGCACACCUCUACAAUAGAAGUUCUUUGUCGAACUCUUCUGAGGUGUUAUAGUAUUAAUCAUUCAACAUUUGUUUGAUUCAUCGUGUGUUCUUUCUAUUAUUUACAUUCUGAUUUACUUGCAAAGAAUCUAAUCGAUCUUAAAAGAGCUUUUCAUCUCUACAGCCAAGAAUAGUAAUGUCGUUGUUAGACCCCACGACCCCAAAAAAAGGAAUGUCAUAUCCAUAAAUCCUGAGAUGCAAUAAUUUCUAGGAUUAUACGUGGUUCACUUAUAUCUCCUCGAGUAAAUUGACCACGCCAUGCAUUUGGACAUUUUUCCCAAGCCACAUGCGUAUAAUCUAGACUGCCAAGCAUACCCAAAAAUCCAUGGCUCUCUUCAUGAGUCGAAUAUAAUCUCUCAAUAUCACGUGGAGUUGGUUUACGCAAAUAUUCUUGAUGAAAAACCUCAUAUACACAUGCGCAAAACCAAUCUACACAAUCAAUUACGGUCCUCUCCUCUCGGAUAUUUAAAGUAUUCGUCAGAUGCACCAAAUGCUAUACCGUAUCCCAAAUACCUAAGCGCAACCGCACACUUUUGUAUACUACUAAAACUCAUUCUUCCUCUAGCGUCAGAUUUUUGUUUGAAAAAAUCAUAGUGGACUUCUAAAACAUCACUAAUACGUAAAAAUAUUGCCUUAUUUAGACGGAAACGACGUUUGAAUGCAUCUUCAUUGUAAAGACAAUUAUCGGUGAAGUAAUCACGUACCAAUAAGUCGUGUGCGAGCAACAUUCGAACUUUCUUCAUCGUGAAUGUGUUGCACAACAUUGAAGAAAGUCGAGAUGAAUUCUCCGUCAUAAUCUGAGUCAAAAUUUUUUAACACUUCCAAAUCUUCCAUGUGUUUUUUGGUUUAGAAUAAGAGUAAAAUUUGAUGAUAUGUAAGUGAUGGAGUGUGAGAAUUUUAUUUAUAUAUGUAUUAAGUUUUUGAAAAAAAAAAUAAAAUAAAAUAAACAUAACAAUUUGACUGUUCAACGGUCAAAAGAAUCAAAUUCAAUUUCAUUAGCAAUUUCAUUUCGUUGUCGGGAAUAUGAGACAACAUGACCAUGAUGGACCACGACCGACCGGGUUGGUGUGCACGGUCGUGGUCGUGGUCCAUGUAAACCACGAGGGUGCUCGUAUCGAGUACACCGGAUAGUCUAAAUGGAAUGGUGACCAAUCACGACUGUGUGGCAAUGCAACUAUGAUUAAUGGUGAGAAUUGAGAAUGACGGCUGAUAUAUAAUAGUGAAGCAAUUAUGAGAACUGGGAAUAACAUCUGAUGAAACAAAGAGAAAGACGGGUAGUUUCGUAAACAUUGUUUUUCUUUUUUCUUUAAUAAAUAAAAUACAAGUAUAAAUAAAUACUUUUUAAGACACCAUUAUUUGGUAAAUAAUUUUCGGGAACACUACCUUUAAGUACAAAACUCAUGAUAUCCUCCUCACAAUCGCAACAAACUUAAAAUUGGUACUUUCUAUGUCUCAAAAUUAUUAUCCACUUUAUUAUUUUAGUUUGUUUUAAAAUUAUUAUUCAAAAAUAGAUAUAUAUUUUUACCAUAUUACCCUUAAUAUUUAAUAAAGUAAACUUAAUAAUUACAAAUGUAUAUUUACUUUUGUUUUUAGAAAAAGACAAGAUGAUCAUUUUACUAAAAAAAAGACAAAACUAAUGAUUUUUUUUUUUUUUUUUUUUUUUUUUUUUUUUUNUUUUAUAAAAAAAAAAAAAAAAUAAUUUUUUUUUUUUUUUUUUUUUUUUUUUUUUUUUUUUUUUCUUUAUGGACAUUAAUUUUGCAAUCGAGGAAAUAAUAUUCAAUUUUAUUUAAAUCAAAAUAAAUGUCAAUUCAAUUCAAGUUUGAAAAUACCAAAUUGAAAACACCAUAAGAUUCAAAGGAUCCCUCAGGCCACAAUAGACAUGGAACUUCUAUUCGUAAUUUGACAUUCUUGCUUAUCAUAUCAUUCGAUCCUUAGAGCAUCUAUGAAUUCUUCAUCGCAUUCAAGAUCCAUAAUAUGUUGUGAUGAAGCAAAACAAAUUUCCACAUCCAUACUCCCGCCACCUUCCCGUCCGGGAUACAUCGUUAUCUUCCCGUCGCCCUUGUUCAUCCACCCACUUCUAGCCGCCACCGCUUUCCCCAGCCCGAACUCGCACCCGUACAUGUCAAACCUCGGUGAGCUCCCAACGUGAAUGUAGUUUUGAUCGAUCCUCUGACUUAGUUUUAUAAUGAAUGGCCUUUUAAUCCAUGACUCAACGCUUUCCUUAACAGAUGUAUCAUUGUAGUUUAUCACCGCUUUGUGCAACCGGAAAGCCGCCCACCCAAGCCCAUUCGCCGUCAAUUCCCCAACGGUUGCUGUUCCUCUCAAUACAGAAAUUGGGUUACCAAAAUAAUCAUCAGACAGAGGUGGGUUCAGCCGCCGCCGGUUAGACACCAUCAAUCUACAACUGGUUUCACCGUCGACUGGUAGUCGCCGGAUACGGGUAACGCUUCUCCACAAAAGCGCGAUCACUGCCUGUAAACUUGAGAUUUUCGUAGUAUUGCAUUCCGAGUUUGCUUUUGCUUUGAGUUUGGAGACGGAGGCUGAUGAGAAGUGGAAGAAUCUCUCCUUUAAAGGUGGAGGUUCCAAUCGUUCAAUGAAUUGAUCAUGGUGUGUAAACGGGAGAUUGAUGAUAGGGUCAGAUCCAUCGAGGAGCCAUCGUUUGAGUACCGGAGGUCGAGAGAUUGAGCCAUGAUAUUGGUCUUUGGAUUUGAAUAUUUCACUCCAAGCAGCCAUGAAAUGCCAGAAAGAGGUUCCAUCGGCGACCAUAUGGUUGAUAGAUCCGCCGAUAAAGAUUCCAUCGACAAGCUCUGUAACUUGAAUGGAUAACAAUGGCAGUGUGUGACCAUCGUGGCUAA